rnacentral:misc_RNA from 1 species
UUUCCGUAGGUGAACCUGCGGAAGGAUCAUUACCUUAUCUGGGAAGCGUACGCAGGCUCUCUGUGUACUCUUCCCCAGGUCUUACCCUUGUCUUUUGCGCACCCAGUGUUUCCUCGGCGUGGCUUGCCCGCCGGCUGGAUAACCGUUAUAACCUUUAUGUAAUCUUCAAUCAGCGUCUGAAAACAAUAUAAUAAUUACAACUUUCAACAACGGAUCUCUUGGUUCUGGCAUCGAUGAAGAACGCAGC